AAGACAGGAAGAGAAUCUCAAUUCCACAAUUAAUUGUUUUUUAAAGACAAAUCAUCAGCAAGGGCCUUUUCCAUUUUCACAAGCCCAAACAGGCUCAUCUUUGAAGGUUGUACAAGGGAAAUCACUUCAGGAGACUUAUCCUCAGAGGGCUCACACAGCGCAGGACUACAUAUAAAAAGGACUCCGAUAAAUCAGACAGAGGAAUCCUCUACAUGAGAGGGUCACUCAAAGUCUCUUUGACCUAACCCAAGCAACAGCACAGGCUGGGAACACGGCAGGAUUUUCUGCAACAGCAAGUCAGGACUAUCAACAAGUAAAGAAACCAGAGUUAUCUGUGGACAGUCCGGAACGAGAGAGAGAACUGUGAUACCCCAGAGAUCUGUCACACUGGUGCCGAAACCUGGGACUGAGGAACAAACACUACCACGGGAUCAGAAGCAGUCCAAGACCUCCUCCAAAUGCUCGCCAACAACCUCCAGCGCCAGCAGUAUGCCCUCGUCGUGCUUUCCAUCAACCUGGACUGGCGCUUUUGGGAUCUGCUUGAAGCCCAGGCAGAGGAUCGGCAGGUAAUAUGGAGCUGGGUACAGUCUGCAGGUGCUCCAGCCAGCGUUCCUGCGGCCAGCAUGCCUGUCCAGCUGGUGAAGAUGGAGCCGCAGGACUACCCCAACGCCUUCAUUGAGCUGUUUGAGCAUGUUGCGGAGGCAAGCUCCUGGUCAACCACACAGUGAGCGGCUUGCCUUCUGCUCCUCCUGUUGGGAGAGGCCCAGCUCAUGGCUCAACAGCUCACGGCCUCCAAUAUGCUGGAGUACCCUCACCUGAUGCGAGCCAUCCUACAGCGGGUUGGACACAGCCCAGAAGAACAGCACCAGCGCUUCUGCUCACUGGCUUAUGGCAAAGUGGGCCGGCCAUUUGCACUUGCCCAACAGCUCCGGGAUGCCUGCUGACAGUGGCUUCUGGCCAGUGAGUGUAACAUCAAAGCUAUCAUCGAGCAAGUGGCACUGGAGCAGUUUGUUGCUCAGCUGCCGAGCGGGACAUCAGCAUGGCUCUGGUGUCACCGAACAACAUUGCUGGAGGAGGCGGUCCGACUGACUGAGGAUCGUCUGAUGGUGUAUCCAGAAGCAGGCUCUGUGACAACUCUCUCUCUCAAUCACUUUCUCCUUCCCCCUCUCCCUCUCCUUGCCCCUCCCCUAUCUCAGCCCCACAGAAACAGGGGCCAACUCCCUUGAAAUCUGCUCCCCACACCCUUGUCUAUCCCAAUGUUUCCACUCUCCCUUCUCCUUCUGUGACUGUGCCGCCAUUAACCCUCUCUCUCUCUCUCUCUCUCUCUACAGAUGAACUCAUCCAUGCCCACCAGAACCACAAGCAAGCCCAGGCAGGUCUGUAAGCAUGGAGAGAAGGGAAAUCAGUGCUUCCAUAAGGAGGCAGGGCUACUGGUUUACAUUCCUGAUGCACUUCAGGCUUCCCCUGAUCAAGCAGGGGCAUACAGGAUAACUACCGAUGCAUUGGACAGAGGGCUGGGGGAUGUUUUGUCCCAGUUGCUGGAAGGGGAGGAGUGUCCAGUGCUGUAAAUCAGUCACAAGCUCUCCAUGUGAGAGUCAAAAUACAGCACCAUAGAAAAGGAGUAUCUGACCAUCAAGUGGACAGUCCUCACUCUCCGCUACUAUCUGCUAAGACUCCCAUUCACCCUCUGUUCCGAUCAUGCCCCAUUCCAGUGGCUCCACCGCAUAAAGGAUGCCAACGUGCAGAUCACUUGUUGGCAUCUAGCCCUUCAACCCUUUAAAUUCAAGGUGGUCCACAGGCCAGGGGCGCAGAUGGUGGUGGCAGAUUACUUCUCCCACCAGGGCGGGAGUCAGCUGCAGGCUGGACAACUCCCUAGCCUGAGUCGGGCCAUGGAGGUAUGUGGCAGUGGGGGCGAGGUCAAGCGUCGACUGUGAACGGCAAGGAGGCAGGUUGAACCAGCAGGUAACAUGUGAUGAGCUGCACCUGUGUCAGAUUGCUGGCUGUCUAUUAAC